rnacentral:RNase_P_RNA from 1 species
GGAGUUGGCCAGGCAGUCGCUCUGCGCAAGCAGGGAGGAAAGUCCGGGCUUCAUAGGGCAAAGUGCCAGGUAACGCCUGGGGGGCGCGAGCCUACAGAUAGUGCAGCAGAAAGAAAACCGCCUAAGUCUACUCGUAGACCGGUAAGGGUGAAACGGUGCGGUAAGAGCGCACCGCGUGUGCGGUAACGUAACACGGCGAUGGUAAACCUCACUUGAAGCAAGACCAAAUAGAGAAGUGGUAACGCAAGUUACAAGGUGUGGCCCACACCGCUUCUGGGUAGGUCGCUCGAGGUGCACAGUGAUGUGCAUCCCAGAUGAAUGACUGUCCACGACAGAACCCGGCUUAUCGGCCAACUCCACCU